CCCCCUACUCCCUCCCCACAGGUGAUUCUAAUGAGUGGCCAAGGUUAAGAACCCCCGCUGAGAUGGUGUGAAGGCACCAAUCACCAAUAACUCUGGGUGGGGGCACAGGUGGUUCUCCCAACCCUGAAGGUUUAAGAAGAAGAUGGGACCUUGCCCUAGGGAGGCACUCUCCAGCUGCAAAGAAGAGGUUAACUCAUGUUAGCAUCUGGCUGAGUCCUAAGGGAAGAGGAUGACACAGGGCAGAAUCGAAAGACCACCUGCAUCCCUUUGCUUAUGGCCCCUUCCUUAAAUCACACCAAACUCCUGCUCCCAUCGUCAUAUCUGCUCCUGAGUCUGACCCUCCCCCUUCCUGUGAGGAUGCUUGGGAUUAUAUUGGGCUCCAGAUGAUCCCCAUCUCAAGGCCCUUGAGCAGCCAUAAUAGACUCACGGGGGCUGUGGCCUCUCCGCAGAGCCCCCCGGAUACCACAAGGCAUAUACGUUCCUCAAGGCGGCAGGUUUACCUCGCAGAACGCAGUAGCCUGAGGUUCUGGAUUGCAGACUGCCUGGGUGUCAGUCACUGCCCUGGCCGGCUGGGGGCCUUGGGCACGUCACCUCCCCUUCCUGCACCUUGACUUCCCUCGCCUGUGAGAUUGGCUUUUAUAAUGCCCACCAGAGCCCCUUUGCUUCUGGUCAGAGCCCCCCUCCCCUCACAGGGGCAUGCCCUUGUGCACAUUCCCCUGAAGGCUGGUCUCCAGGUGCACACUGAGAGGGGACCCAGGGAAGAAGAGUGUGGCCUCUCUGGGGAUGUGUAGGGCCACCAGGAACAGACACACUUGGGGUCCCUUAAGUCAUCAGGGCGUCCUUGCAAGGAAAGAAGAAAGGAAGCAAAUGGGAGUCUCGACCUCAAAAUCAGCAGCAGGAGCUGGGAAGGCUGUUCAGGACAGCGUGCAGUGCUAGUGCUCCCCUCAUCGUUUGGCCCCCUUGGAAGUGGGCGUCCAUUUCUUUUGAUUUGAGAGCUUUGUCUUUCCGGAAAUUCACUUCCUGUUCGUUUUUGCUUCUCUCUUCCUUCCCACGCCUAUUAGCUGCUCUCCCUUCUCCUCUCUGACCAGCGGCUUCUGCUGCUUUUCAGCCUCUGCUCCCACCACCAACUGCUUCCCUCGGUCUCUGUGCCAUAUUUUCAUUGCAGAGGCCAGACCCUCUGCAGCCUUCAGCAACAUUGAUGUCGUGAAAGGGAAAGAGGUGGAGGGACUGGUCCAGAAGAAAGGAGACUAAAGAGACAUGACAACCGAGUGGAAUAUGGGAUCCUGGGCUGGAGGGAAACAGUGCUGCAAAGAACAUUAGUGACAAACUGGCUAUGGAUGGGAGAGCAGUUAAAAUACUGUGUCGAUGUUAAUUUCCCUCAUUUGCUAAUUGUGCUGUAGUUGUGUAAGACAAUGACCUUUGAUCUUAGCAAAAACACACUGAAGUAUGAAGGGGUAAAGGGGCAUGAUUUAUGCAACCUCCUCUCAAAUGGUUCAGAAAAAAUUAGAUAAUAAUAUGCGUUUUUAAAAGAGGUCUCCAAUGACUCUCUUCUUGCUAAAUUC
ensembl:lncRNA